CGCCCAACAGCUAGCCCACCCAUCAACCCCAAAUUUACCCUAUUUAUACCCCCAAACACACCACCACCCAACAAACAAACCAUUUUUCCACCUAAGUACGGGCGACGAAAAAGGAUUUAGGAGCAACAGAGAAAGUACCGCARGGGAAAGCUGAAAGAGUAAUGAAACAACCCAGUAAAGCACUAAAAAGCAGAGAACACCUCUCGUACCUUUUGCAUCAUGAUUUAGCCAGUAAAUAUUAAGCAAAAAGCAUUAUAGUUUAACUCCCCGAAACUAAGCGAGCUACUCCAAGGCAGCCUAAUUUAUAGGGCCACCCCGUCUCUGUGGCAAAAGAGUGGGAUGAACUUUGAGUAGAGGUGAUAGACCUACCGAGCCUAGUUAUAGCUGGUUGCCUGAAAACUGAAUAAAAGUUCAGCCCUUUAAAUUCUCCCUCCCUGUUGGCUCAAAACCUAAACAUCGGACAAAAGAAAUUAAAGGAGUUAGUCAAAGGGGGUACAGCCCCUUUGAAACAAGACACAACUUUACAAGGAGGAUAAAGAUCACAACAAACUUAAAGGUGAAUGUCUUAGUGGGCCUAAAAGCAGCCAUCUAUUCAGAAAGCGUUAAAGCUCGAGCAUACACAACCAACCUACCAAUACAGACAGCACAAUCUCACCCCCCUUAAACCUACCAGGCCGUUCCAUAAAAAACAUGGAAGCGUUUAUGCUAAAAUGAGUAAUAAGAAGAUCCCUUUCUCUCCCCGCACAAGUGUAAGUCGGAACGAACCAUUCACCGACCAUUAACGGCCCCA
rnacentral:rRNA from 1 species